CGGGUUGGGUGCGUGUGUGUGGGUACAACCUAGGGUAGAGAGAGUAGGAGGAGCUAGGGGAAACAGGUGGGGUGCGACGGUGGUCUAAGGCCGCUAGGAGCGACAAGGGGUGGCGGGUCGAGAGGAGGGGCUCCAGUGGAGAGGGGCGAGUGGUAGAGGUGGCUGGCUAAAGAGAGGAGCGGAUCCUCUCGGUGCGGGUCCGUGACCACCACCACGUGGCGCUCCUCCGGGGUCGCCGAAGCUCGACGACGACGACGCCCGUGUUACUGCACGAUCCCUCCUCGAUGCAGCCCUACGACGAGGACGCGGCUCGAUGACGACGAUGCCCGCGCCGCAGAGAGGAAAGGGGUUUAGGGGUAGGCUGCGUAGGGAGAGGUCGGAGUUCGGCGACGGGACUCGAGGGGAUGUCCGGCCGCUGUGGUGAGACUAAUCCUCAGUACGUACACCGGCCGUAUCGUAAGACCAGUGGUUGACGGGAGGUCCACACUCGACAAAACGAGCACCUGUUAGAGUACACGACCUAGACGUAACCUACCGUCUAUUCGCCUCACCCUCGAACGUCGUCGUCGAAAUUGGGGAAGGGUUACUCGAAGUCCAGCAUCUGCUCCAGGGCCGGCUCCAUAGGGAGGAGAGUAAGGAAGGGGAAAGAUGGUGGAUUCCUUACUAAUAUCACAUACUACGUGUCUUCAAAGGUUUCAAGUACGAAUCGACUAUAGAAAACAAUUGACUUAUCAAACGACACUACUUAGUGAUCCAGUCAUAUCGUUCCGCCGAGAAUUUUUUCCAGGGAAGAAACUAAUAUUUAGGAUUUGUCCAGUAUUUAAUACUCUUUUCUUGGAAGGUACUAGGGGUAGUGUCUCAAAACCAAAACAAGGGAACGUAACUAUACGUUUUAUAUACGUAGCGUUUGUUAAAACGCAAUUCAAUUAACAAACAACACUACUUAGUAUUCCUGCUAUAGGCUCAUGCGACCGAGAACUUUUUCCAGAGGAAGGAACUAAUAUCAUUAAGGAUUUGACCAGUAUAUCAGACCCGUUGGACGUGUUUAGACUUAAAUACAAAGUCUUUUGGUACAAAGGAUAAAUUCAAGAUGAUAAGUAACGAGAUACGAAAUUAUAACCCAUAAUCCUGUACUAGUACGAGGAUACCAAAAAGAUAAACUAUUCUGAACUUGUACGAAUAAAAUCAAAUCCAUAGGUAGAUACGAUGGCAAGACAGGUAAACCUACAAUACGUGAAUGUUAAUAUGUAAUACAUUCAGGUAUAAAGGCAACGUUACAUAUCCAACUAAGUGUGAACAUCGUCCGUACGUUCUAUUUUCUUUUAUUUAGAUCUAAGAAUGGGAAAGGGAACUAUAUAAGAGGAACAACUUGUCUGUUUGUCAAAAGCUACUUGACUGUAGAGUGGUAAGACGACCAACCUACGAACAACGGAUAUAAAUCUUAUUCGUUUUUUGGAACGACCCAGGCUUCAACAGGUCUACGUACCACUUACUACCGACUCUAUACCACGCUUUACCUUAUCUUUCUUUUAAGAACACGGACGUCCCUCGCCUUGACUUACACUAGCCCCCCAGUGUCAGUUCUCUCACGAAGGAACCGUACGAUGGUUUCCCUUUACCGUGAUAGUACCUUCAUUUUCUCUACCGGUAAAUUAAUCCGAUCCGAGUGUUCAUCGACCUAAAAAAACACACUUCUACGUAGUCACUAAAAAAAUCGUCAAAUAUUACCAUGAUCGGGGGACACGAACACCCACGUCAAGGGAUUAACGUCUUUUUAUGGUCCACGUUCACACCACGACCAAGAGAGGAAACCGAGAAACCAUAACCAAGAGAGGAAACAGAGGAACAUUAUACACAACCUAUACACAAGUACCUAUACACAACCUAUAUAUACACAAGUACUGAUAACCAUUGUACACAACCUAUACACAAGUAC
rnacentral:rRNA from 1 species